rnacentral:lncRNA from 1 species
UAAAUGUACAAUAACAAAAUUUGAAAAGUUACAAAUAAUGGUUUGGGGGGCAGAGACCAGAGAUCUCAGGGCUUGAAUCCAGUUGCUGCUCCACUUGCUGUGGGGCCCAGUGUUUCCAGUGGGGAGGUGGGAGGGUGGGGCUCAAAUAUGGAGGCAAGUGGGAGCCAAGGCACCUCAGACAGUGCCAACAACUCCCAGCAUGACUCUGGUAAAAUGUUUAUGGGUGGACUGAGCUGGCAGACCUCACCAGAAGGGUCAGAGACUAUUUUAGCAAUUUUGGAGAAAUUAGAGAAUGUCUGGUCAUGAGAGACCCCACUACGAGAUGCUCCAGAGGCUUUGGUUUUGACAAGUUUGCAGACCCAACAAGUAUAGAUAAAGGGCUAGGUCAGCCACACCAUGAGCUAUGUUUCAAGAUGAUUGACUCCAAGGUUGCAUUUCUUCUUCCAGCACAAUCCAAGAUGUUCACAAAAACAAAUAUUUGUAGGUGGAUUAUCUCGUAACACAUUAGUGGAAGAUGUAAAACAAUAUUUUGAGCAGUUUGGCAAAGUGGAAGAUAUUUGAUAAAACCACUAAUAGGCACAGAGGGUUUGGUUUCAUCACCUUUGAGAAUGAAGAUGUUGUGGAGAAAGUCUGAGAUUGUUUUCAGGAAAUCAAUAAUUUAAUAAAUUAUUGAUUCCUUGAAAUUAAUAAUUUUUAAAAAAGGUAGAACAGGGACUGGGGAUGUGGCUCAAGCGGUAGCACGCUCACCUGGCAUGCGUGCGGCCCGGGUUU